UUGGACGGCCAUAGGGGCCGGGUUCCACCCAGUCUCGUUCGAACCUGGAAGUUAAGCCGGCUUCCGUAGCUGAGUGUACUCUAUUGCAGGGGAAAUCAGCUAAGCUGUCCGCC
rnacentral:rRNA from 1 species